UCCCUGGUGGCUCAGAGGUUAAAGCGUCUGCCUGCAAUGCAGGAGACUUGGGUUCAUUCCCUGAGUUGGGAA
rfam:TPA: Bos taurus chromosome 4, whole genome shotgun sequence.